rnacentral:misc_RNA from 1 species
GAAUUGCGACAAGUAGUGUGAAUUGCAGAAUUCCGUGAAUCAUCGAAUCUUUGAACGCAUAUUGCACUUUUUGGUAUUCCGAAAAGUAUGCCUGUUUGAGGGUCAUUGAAUGAAAUCGACGCAAUAGUAUGUAAUGUAAUGUACAAUUGUAAUCGGAUGGUUGAGCAUUUCGCGAGAUAUUUUUAUAGUGAUUGCUCGAAAUUGAAGCAUGGUCUCGGCCUUUUAUAGAGACGCGUUUAUGGUGGCUUGCCUCCUUUAUUUCGCAACUUUUAGGUCGAAUUUCCGUGGUUGUUUGGGCAGUUUCUCUUUUUGAGAAAAGGCACUUGCAGUUUAUAUUUUAUCGUGACCUCAAAUCAAGCAAGAAUACCCGCUGAACUUAA